AUUUUACCCAUCGUGUUCCGACACUAGGGGAGCCACGGGAAGAGUUUGUGGCCAAGGAAAAGGCCCAUAGACCGAGGAUCUGGCUAUGUCACCCAGGCAAGAGUGCAGUGGCAUGAUCUCGGCUCACUGCAGCCUCAACCUCCCAGGCUCAAGUGAUCCUCCCAUCUCAGCCUCCUGAGUAGCUGUGACCACAGAUGGCUGUGCUCCAUUUCUCAACCUCCUCUGCAGCUAGG
rnacentral:lncRNA from 1 species